rnacentral:lncRNA from 1 species
CACAGAACAGCAGCCCGGAACUAGGGGCAAGGGUCACAUGUCCAGUCAGAAAGAACGCCCUCCUUCACCCAAAUUGCUCAAAACUGUUGUUGGCUCUUCUUCAAAACUCUUGAUGUUUGGCAAUACCGUGUGCACUUUGACCAUAGCGUCCAGUGCCUUGUUGAGCAGUUUUCAGUAGACUUUCGCUUUGCACAAACAUCUUCUCUGAGUGAUCCAACACCUCCUGCAGCUCUGGCAAACUCUGGGUCAGCCCGGAGUCCCUCGAAGCUGGAGCUGAGGUCAGAGAAGCCCAGGACAGCCACGAAGCUGUGGGUCCUCGCGCCUAACAACCACGGUUAAGGAUUCUGAUACGUUACCAAACCGCCACCCAGAAAGGAAUUGCAAUGUGGACUUCUACAAGAAAUCAGAAACAGUAAAGGUAGCCUGAAAGCCACACCGAAAUUACCUGCUACCAUCCAGGAUGCUGAGCAGACAAGGGUUUGUGGGAAUGGGGCGUGGCUAGGCGCCUAGGCACUUAUGGAUUCUCUUCUUUUCAGAACAGCCUUGCUGCCUGCAGGGGUGACUGAGGCCCUGAAGUCCAGAGCUUUGCUGAGUCGUCACUUGGGAGAGUAAAUCUCCAAUGGUCUGCCCGUGCAGUGAGCAUUGUAACCUGUAUCACUGUAAAUCUUAUUUGCAAA